CAUUAAGUAAGUGCCCUUAAUCAGCUUUUCAGUUCAGUUUUAUUGGUUGCACCACAGUCAGUUAUUUCAUCCAGAAAAUCUGAGGGCCCUACAAAGCUAAGCAGGUAUGCAUCCCCAGAAAUUACUUCAGUAAAGAUUUGUCAUGGAAAAACCCAGUAGAUGCCACAGCCAGAGGUCUCGCUUUGCCUGCGACUACAUAAGGCCUCAAGAGAGACUGAAGUGGAGAUUUUAAAACUAAGAGUAUUUCUCCAUGUGUCAACAACAGAGGGUAAAAUGGAAUUACAUCACUGCAACAUCAGCUACCUCCUAUUGACAAAGAGAUUUCUGAAAGCUGCUGUGAUCAAGUUGUUCUCUUUGAUGCAUUUUAUUGUACCUUCCUUAUCUCCCCCCCUCCCUUAGUUUUUCAUUAUUUCUGGAUAUCUUCUUCAGUAAAUGUUACCCCUACCAUACCUAAGAUGGUAUCAGUUUAAUCUUAUUUUAAUGGUCAUGGCUAUAUCCUAUGGAAUUCUAGAAUAGGUAAUUUGAUGAGGAAAUUAGGACUUCGUCACACUAGAGUAGCUUCCACUUUAAAUUGGGUUGCUGCCUCCUCCAAAAUUCUGGGGCUUGUAGUUUAGGGAGGAGCCUUUAAACUGUUCAGCCUGAGGGGUCCUGGGCCUCACCAAACUACAAACCCCAGUAUUCUGCAGGAGGCAGCAACUGGAUUUAAAGUGGAUAGAUGCUCUGGUGUGAUUAGAUUCAUCCACUAGAGAAUUCUAAUCUAAGCAAACGGCAAACAUAAAUAUUUAUUAAUUACUUUUAAAAAAAA